rnacentral:tRNA from 1 species
UGCGGGAUUGACUGGAGUGGUUCCAGCGGCAGUCUCAUAAGCUGUAGAACGUCAGUUCGAAUCCGGCUCCCGCAACCA